AGAGUUUGAUCCUGGCUCAGGAUGAACGCUGGCGGCGUGCCUAACACAUGCAAGUCGAGCGGAGAUAUAUGUCUAGGAGACUUCGGUCAAAUUAAUUAUAUCUUAGCGGCGGAUGGGUGAGGAACGCGUGGAGAACCUGCCCUUCACAGGGGGAUAACAGCUGGAAACGGCUGUUAAUACCGCAUAUGCUCACAGCACCGCAUGGUGCAGGGAGGAAAGCCUUUACGGUGAAGGAUGGCUCCGCGUCGGAUUAGCCAGUUGGCGGGGUAACGGCCCACCAAAGCGAUGAUCCGUAGCCGGCCUGAGAGGGCGACCGGCCACAUUGGGACUGAGACACGGCCCAAACUCCUACGGGAGGCAGCAGUGGGGGAUAUUGCACAAUGGGGGGAACCCUGAUGCAAGCGACGCCGCGUGAAGGAAGACGUGCUUCGGCAUGUAAACUUCUAUCAGCAGGGAAGAAGAUGACGGUACCUGACUAAGAAGCCCCGGCUAACUACGUGCCAGCAGCGGC
rnacentral:rRNA from 1 species